UACAGAGGUCUCAAGCGUUGUUCGGAUUCAUUGGGCGUAAAGGGUGCGUAGGCGGCGCGGUAAGUCGGGUGUGAAAUCUUCGGGAGCUUUAACUCCGAAACUGCAUUCGAUACUGCCGCGCUUGAGGACUGGAGAGGAGACUGGAAUUUACGGUGUAGCGGUGAAAUGCGUAGAUAUCGUAAGGAAGACCAGUGGCGAAGGCGGGUCUCUGGACAAGUUCCUGGACGCUGAGGCACGAAGGCCAGGGGGAGCAAAACG
rnacentral:rRNA from 1 species